UACGGAGGGGGGUUAGCGUUGUUCGGAAUGACUGGGCGUAAAGCGCGCGUAGGCGGGCUGGAAAGUUGGGGGGUGAAAUCCCGGGGGCUCAACCCCCGGAAUGGCCUUCAAAAACUCCCAGCCUAGAGUUCGAGAGAGGUGAGUGGAAUUCCGAGUGUAGAGGUGAAAAUUCGUAGAUAUUAGCUAGAACACCAGUGGCGAAGGCGGCCAACUGGUCCGGUACUGACGCUGGAGGUGAGAACGGUGGGGAGCAAACA
rnacentral:rRNA from 1 species